GGGCUUUCCUUUGUGCUUGAUCUAACCAUGUGGUGGAACGAUAGAAACAGAACAUGGUUCUGUCAAGCACCGCGGAAAGCUC
rnacentral:pre_miRNA from 1 species